GACAGAGGGUGCAAACGUUGUUCGGAAUUACUGGGCGUAAAGCGUGUGUAGGCGGCCACGUAAGUCGGAUGUGAAAGCCCCAGGCUCAACCUGGGAAGUGCACUCGAUACUGCGUGGCUUGAGUAUCGGAGAGGUUGGUGGAAUUCUCGGUGUAGAGGUGAAAUUCGUAGAUAUUCGGAAGAACACCGGUGGCGAAGGCGGCUCACUGGCCCGUUACUGACGCUCAGGCGCGUCAGCGUGGGGAUCA
rnacentral:rRNA from 1 species